AUUGAACGCUGGCGGCGGGCCUAACACAUGCAAGUCGAACGAGUGGCGGACGGGUGAGUAAUGGCUGGGAAACUGCCUGAUGGAGGCGUAUAAAUACUGGAAACGGUAGCUACUACCGCAUACCAUCGUUUAUGCUCAGAGGGCAGUAGCUAGUAGGUGGGGUAAAGGCUCAUCUAGGCGACGCUCCCUAGCUGGUCUGAGAGGGUGACCGGCCACACUGGGACUGAGACACGGCCCAGACUCCUACGGGAGGCAGCAGUGGGGAAUCUUGCGCAAUGGGCGCAAGCCUGAUCGAGCCAUGCCGCGUGUGUGAAGAAGGCCUUCGGGUUGUAAAAUACUGUCGGCGGGGAGGCGGUACCCGAAGAGAAAGCCCCGGCUAACUCCGUGCCAGCCGCCGCGGUAAUAC
rnacentral:rRNA from 1 species